UAAACAGGUGUGGUACAGUUUUCCUUUGA
rnacentral:piRNA from 1 species